CCCUUAGACGUUCUGGGCUGCACGCGUGCUACAAUGGCGCUUGCAACAAGUCUUGCCAACCCGAUAGGGUGAGCGGAUCUUUGAAGAGGCGUCGUGAUCGGGACAGUUGAUUGCAAUUAUUCGACUCGAACGAGGAAUUCCUUGUAAUCGCGAUUCAUCAUAUCGCGCUGAAUACGUCCCUGCCCUUUGUACACACCGCCCGUCGCUCCUACCGAUUGAGCGAUCCGGUGAAUGUUUUGGACUGGCGUCAGAAGCGGUUCGCUCCUGACACUACGAAAUUUUGUAAACCUUAUCGCUUAGAGGAAGGAAAAGUCGUAACA
rnacentral:rRNA from 1 species